rnacentral:lncRNA from 1 species
AGUGUUGGGUUCGAGGCGUGACAGUCUUGGUGGUUGUAGCCACUGUGGUGGAGGUUUAGAGAUGAUGAUGGUAUAGAUAGAGGUACCAAUGGUAGUGUAGGAGGGGUAGGAUUUUAGAGGAGAUUUGAGGAAGAGAAAAUGAUGAAAUGAAAAAUAGAAACUCUAAUUAAAAGAGAAAAAUGGGAAAGGAGUUUGGGAUUCCGCAUCAGCUAGUUCCAUACCAUAUCAAUUUCUACUACAUAUCAUGUGGUAGC